GAUGAACGCUGGCGGCGUGCCUAAUACAUGCAAGUCGAGCGAACAGACGAGGAGCUUGCUCCUCUGACGUUAGCGGCGGACGGGUGAGUAACACGUGGAUAACCUACCUAUAAGACUGGGAUAACUUCGGGAAACCGGAGCUAAUACCGGAUAAUAUAUUGAACCGCAUGGUUCAAUAGUGAAAGACGGUUUUGCUGUCACUUAUAGAUGGAUCCGCGCCGCAUUAGCUAGUUGGUAAGGUAACGGCUUACCAAGGCGACGAUGCGUAGCCGACCUGAGAGGGUGAUCGGCCACACUGGAACUGAGACACGGUCCAGACUCCUACGGGAGGCAGCAGUAGGGAAUCUUCCGCAAUGGGCGAAAGCCUGACGGAGCAACGCCGCGUGAGUGAUGAAGGUUUUCGGAUCGUAAAACUCUGUUAUUAGGGAAGAACAAAUGUGUAAGUAACUAUGCACGUCUUGACGGUACCUAAUCAGAAAGCCAAGGCUAACUACGUG
rnacentral:rRNA from 1 species